UACGUAGGGUGCGAGCGUUGUCCGGAAUUACUGGGCGUAAAGAGCUCGUAGGCGGUUUGUCGCGUCGUCUGUGAAAUUCUGCAGCUUAACUGCAGGCGUGCAGGCGAUACGGGCAGACUUGAGUACUACAGGGGAGACUGGAAUUCCUGGUGUAGCGGUGAAAUGCGCAGAUAUCAGGAGGAACACCGGUGGCGAAGGCGGGUCUCUGGGUAGUAACUGACGCUGAGGAGCGAAAGCGUGGGUAGCGAACAGG
rnacentral:rRNA from 1 species